AACGAACGCUGGCGGCAGGCCUAACACAUGCAAGUCGAGCGAGCAUUUCGGUGCUAGCGGCGGACGGGUGAGUAACGCGUGGGAACGUGCCCUUUUCUGCGGAAUAGUCCUGGGAAACUGGGGGUAAUACCGCAUACGCCCUUUUGGGGAAAGAUUUAUCGGGGCAGGAUCGGCCCGCGUUGGAUUAGGUAGUUGGUGGGGUAAUGGCCCACCAAGCCGACGAUCCAUAGCUGGUUUGAGAGGAUGAUCAGCCACACUGGGACUGAGACACGGCCCAGACUCCUACGGGAGGCAGCAGUGGGGAAUCUUAGACAAUGGGGGCAACCCUGAUCUAGCCAUGCCGCGUGAGUGAUGAAGGCCUUAGGGUUGUAAAGCUCUUUCAGCUGGGAAGAUAAUGACGGUACCAGCAGAAGAAGCCCCGGCUAACUCCGUG
rnacentral:rRNA from 1 species